CCUACGGGUGGCAGCAGUGGGGAAUAUUGCGCAAUGGGCGAAAGCCUGACGCAGCGACGCCGCGUGAGGGAUGAAGGUCUUCGGAUCGUACACCUCUGUCAGCAGGGAAGAACGGUCACUGUGCUAAUCAGCAGUGAAUUGACGGUACCUGCAAAGGAAGCACCGGCUAACUCCGUGCCAGCAGCCGCGGUAAUACGGAGGGUGCGAGCGUUAAUCGGAAGUAAUGGGCGUAAAGCGCUCGUAGGCGGUAUGUCAAGUCAAGGGUGAAUUCCCCGCGCUCAACGUGGGAACUGCCUUUGAAACUGGCAAACUGGAGUGUGUGAGAGGAUAGUGGAAUGCCAGGUGUAGGAGUGAAAUCCGUAGAUAUCUGGAGGAACAUCAGUGGCGAAGGCGACUAUCUGGCACAUAACUGACGCUGAGGAGUGAAAGCGUGGGUAGCAAACAGGAUUAGAUACCCGAGUAGUC
rnacentral:rRNA from 1 species